rnacentral:siRNA from 1 species
UUGGUGUUCUUAGAAGCAACAAAU